AUUCAGUCGCGCUCUAUCAGAGGCUGGAACUUGGAACCCAACCUGACGUCAUUGCAACAAACUCUCACUGCGCAUGCGCGAGGACUAUAAAAUGCGGGUUCGCGCGCUCGUUCUUCCCAGUUCCGUCCUCCUUGUGAAGGUAUGUGGGCUGUUGGACCAUGCAGUUUUCCUAUAGUGCUGACUCAGAUUUUGAUCAUACUGGCACCAAAUGGAUGACCUUAAAUUCAUCAGACUGCGUUUCCGGAGUCUUUAACACUUGAAAACAGAUCAUACUGGCACCAAAUGGAUGACCUUAAAUUCAUCAGACUGCGUUUCCGGAGUCUUUAACACUUGAAAACUGGGAGAAUUCUGUAGUUCAAGAGGACCUCACACAAUGAGUGACCCUUGAGGAAUGGCCACACAUAGAUCAAAAAUAGGAGUUUGAGCGACCUGUGCCUCCUCAAGGCCCUUCAGUGCCAAACCCACGUGGAGCAGUGGAUGACGUACACAAUGGGUUUUCUCCAAGCAGUCUAAACUUUACCAGCCACAGGGGAGGAAGUGCCUUUUGAGAGUAUUAAAGUUGCUCUUAUUUUGACCUAGUGUUCCAACAUGCUGUUUUUGGAGAGGCAUUUAAGUUUGUUCACUUUCUCAGAAUGCUGUCACUAAUUAUUGCUUGUAACUUGUUUGUUCUAUGUAAGUGUAAACUAGUCUUGCAGCUGGCACUUUUACAAUAAAAUAUUAAGCCAUGAACUGA